rnacentral:rRNA from 1 species
AGAAUCAACGCUGGCGGCGUGCCUAACACAUGCAAGUCGCACGAGAAAGUGGAGCAAUCCACGAGUAAAGUGGCGCACGGGUGAGUAACACGUGAAUAAUCUACCUCCGAGUGGGGAAUAACUGAGAGAAAUCUUAGCUAAUACCGCAUAAUACCCACGGGUCAAAGCAGCAAUGCGCUUGGAGAGGAGUUCGCGGCCGAUUAGCUAGUUGGCGGGUAAUGGCCCACCAAGGCGAUGAUCGGUA